CAAUGGGGGGAACCCUGACCGAGCAACGCCGCGUGAGUGAAGAAGGUUUUCGGAUCGUAAAGCUCUGUUGUUAAGGAAGAACGAGUGUGAGAAUGGAAAGUUCAUACUGUGACGGUACUUAACCAGAAAGGGACGGCUAACUACGUGCCAGCAGCCGCGGUAAUACGUAGGUCCCGAGCGUUGUCCGGAUUUAUUGGGCGUAAAGCGAGCGCAGGCGGUUAGAAAAGUCUGAAGUGAAAGGCAGUGGCCCAACCAUUGUAGGCUUUGGAAACUGUUUAACUUGAGUGCAGAAGGGGAGAGUGGAAUUCCAUGUGUAGCGGUGAAAUGCGUAGAUAUAUGGAGGAACACCGGUGGCGAAAGCGGCUCUCUGGUCUGUAACUGACGCUGAGGCUCGAAAGCGUGGGGAGCGAACAGGAUUAGAUACCCUGGUAGUCCACGCCGUAAACGAUGAGUGCUAGGUGUUAGGUCCUUUCCGGGACUUAGUGCCGCAGCUAACGCAUUAAGCACUCCGCCUGGGGAGUACGACCGCAAGGUUGAAACUCAAAGGAAUUGACGGGGGCCCGCACAAGCGGUGGAGCAUGUGGUUUAAUUCGAAGCAACGCGAAGAACCUUACCAUGUCUUGACAUUCCCGAUGCUAUUUCUAGAGAUAGGAAGUUUCUUCGGAACAUCGGUGACAGGUGGUGCAUGG
rnacentral:rRNA from 1 species